UGGCACCAACAUGCCAUGAGUGUCAUGGUUUGACAAAACAGUGAUGUGCACCUAUACUCAGACUCACAGAGGAAGAAGAAAGCUGCUGGACUGGAAGCUUGGUGUGGACCUGAGGCGGAACAUGACAUUUCCAUACCCAUGUGGACAGACGGGGUCUUCUUUUGAUUCACAUGACAUGGGGGGACAAGCCCUCUGGUAGCCUGGAGUUUAAGUCUCAACCAGUUCAUUUCAGAGAGAGACGACAGUGUGAACGUGCUAAGGUCGGCACCUUUCUGUCCGUGGCGACUGCUGAAUUUGUCUC